CGGGUUAAGUCCCGCACGAGCGCAACCCUCGUCGUAUGUUGCCAGCGGGUAAUGCCGGGGACUCAUACGAGACUGCCGGGGUCAACUCGGAGGAAGGUGGGGAUGACGUCAAGUCAUCAUGCCCCUUAUGUCUAGGGCUGCACGCAUGCUACAAUGGCCGGUACAAAGGGCUGCGAUACCGCGAGGUGGAGCGAAUCCCAAAAAGCCGGUCUCAGUUCGGAUUGGGGUCUGCAACUCGACCCCAUGAAGUCGGAGUCGCUAGUAAUCGCAGAUCAGCAACGCUGCGGUGAAUACGUUCCCGGGCCUUGUACACAC
rnacentral:rRNA from 1 species